CGUCUCCAUCGAAUACCUAGCAAAAAAAAAAGAAAAAAAAAUCUUCUCCAUCGAACCCUCUUCUUCUUCAUCACCUCCUUCAUGACAAACCAAUACAUCACCAUCACUUCCAUCAUCACAAUCAACGACCCAUUUUAAUUCUAAAUCCCUAAAUUUGUUUCUACAGAUCCCUAAAUCUCUCCUACAGCAACAAUUCUCUCCUCCAUCUUUUCAGUUACUUCUUCACCAUCAGAUCUCUUCCUCCUUCAUCUUCAUCGCCAUUAACACACCCCCACUACCGUCAAAGACCAUCACCACCACUGUCAUUCUUUCAAUUCAAUUUGGAUUAGAAAUCGAAAUUAAGUGUUGCAUCUCUCCCAAAUUAAAUUGGAUUUUGAAAACAAACAAACAUAAUUUCGAUUUCAAACCCAAUUGUUGUUGUUACGCAGGAGAAACGAUGAGUAGUUUGCAAAAUAGAGAUGUAUUACAGGUGCUGAUUCAUGAGUUCAUGCCAACGGAAGACUAAGUGAUCACCUUUCUGGUAAAUAAGCCGAACCAUAUUGAGAAUCCCUUAUGUGCACCGUUAACUGAUAUCCGAGAUCAGGCUUAAAGAAAACUACAUGAACACCAGAGUCAAUUUCUUUGCUUCUCAGGAAUGGUUCCCCGUACAUUUCACCAGAGUUCACUUUGGUUGUGAACUGUUGAGAUUUAGUUUCCGAUAUUUUGGUUGUGCAGGUGUUCGAAGAAUUGACCAAAAGACCUUUACUGGUGUUAUAUCGUGUGGCUCCAUUUCGUUUGCAAAUAUAAGCGUCUCCUUAUUUUUCAAUAGUUAUUACUCUAACCGAAUUUGGGAGAUUGACAGCGUUACUUUUUGAACGGAUGUGGUUCCUAUGUUCACCUCUCUUACAAAUAUCCAGGAGUUGAAAAAUCUAAUGGUCAGCGGUGUAGUUUACAAAUGGUUAAUGCUUUUCAGCUCUUUUUGUACGCUGGUUCAAUUGCCAUCUGAAAUAUAGAGUUCUAUUCUAAUUUUAAUCGCUUCUAUUUGCAGGUUCUUAUAAUUCUUUGUAUGGGGUAAAUUCUGAUAUUCCCCGAUGCAAUUCAUGCAAACUAUAUUUGUUAUUUUUAGUGCACUAUUUUUGUUCCAAGGGGAAGCGAAAGGCAAUUCAGAAGUGUUAUGAGAUGACACGAUUUAUAGUUUGUUAUAGGUGCUGCUUUCUUAACGACAGUUUAUGCUGACUAUCUUACUACCACCGGAAAAGUCUUAAGUGUCCUCACGGUACUGCCGCAAUAAAUGAGCUUCAUAGUUCCAAGCUUUGUUGCAUUAAAGGUCUUAUUGCCCUGUCAUCUUCUGCUAAGUGGACUUGCCAAUUUUGAUAAAGGCCUGUCGGCUCCUCCACUAAUAAUAUGUGAAAUAGCGUGUGCCGCUUACUUUACUUCCAAUUCCAUGUGCAGUAUAAAUUUGUACAGUAUAAAUUGUUGUAAUUUUAGUUUAGCGUCAAUACAUACAUAUGUUACUCUUAGUCUACCUGGGUCUUUGGAUGACGAAAACUAGGAAGUGUGGUGUUGCAUUUCGACAAAUUUCCUGUGAAGCGCCUGACCAGUGAAAUUUGAA